rnacentral:rRNA from 1 species
GGCCGCGGGAAUUCGAUUCAGGCCUAACACAUGCAAGUCGAGCGGUAGAGAGAAGCUUGCUUCUCUUGAGAGCGGCGGACGGGUGAGUAAUGCCUAGGAAUCUGCCUGGUAGUGGGGGAUAACGUUCGGAAACGGACGCUAAUACCGCAUACGUCCUACGGGAGAAAGCAGGGGACCUUCGGGCCUUGCGCUAUCAGAUGAGCCUAGGUCGGAUUAGCUAGUUGGUGAGGUAAUGGCUCACCAAGGCUACGAUCCGUAACUGGUCUGAGAGGAUGAUCAGUCACACUGGAACUGAGACACGGUCCAGACUCCUACGGGAGGCAGCAGUGGGGAAUAUUGGACAAUGGGCGAAAGCCUGAUCCAGCAGGGCCGCGUGUGUGAAGAAGGUCUUCGGAUUGUAAAUCAAUGUAAGUUGGGAGGAAGGGCAUUAACCUAAUACGUUAGUGUUUGACGUACCGACAGA